UUGUUAUACUGUAUGCUUUUACUCCCAGAGUAAAUCCCUUCGCAUUCAUCUUUAGUAGAUUUUAUUUAUCAGGUGUAAAUCCUCUUCGUACUGCUGCCUAGGUGUCCAAGGUCAAAUAUUUACUUUAAAACACACAUAGUCAGACCUGGACUGGCCAGCUGGUGUACCAGGCAUUUUCCUGGUGGGUCGAUGGGUUUGUGGGCCAUCACUGUGGCCCUACUAGGUGUCCCUGAGCUUAAUGUCUUACCGUUACUCUACGCUAUCUUGACGUUCAUCUUUGGACCCUGAGCAGUGUGAGCAAAAUGGGGGAUCUUCCAUUUAUUACAUUCUGCCGGCAAACCCGUUCAGAAAUCGUAUCGUGGAGUCAUUUUCUGAGGAUGGAUUAGGCAACCUCAGCUUCAAUGACUUUGUAGACAUGUUUCAGGUGCUCAGCAAAAUGUCUCCCAGAUACCAUUUACGCCUUCAAAACAUAUGGUUUUAAGACUGAGGUUUUCAUCUGCAAAGAGGGCCUGGAGAAAACAGUGAUUAAGUUUAUCCAGAGACGACCAGACACCUGAGGAAGCAAACUUUGUAUGUGGAAAAGCCAUCAAGGGAGCAGAUCUGGAUGGGGACAACAAACUCUACUUUGCUGACUUUGAGAAGAUAAUCUCUAGGGCUCCUGCCUUCUUGAGCACCUUCCAUGUACGAAUUUGAAACGGACCUCAGCGCACAUCUCUCCAGAUGGGUCAGUCUGAGCUGGCAUUGUGGGGGGGGGGUGACGGAUGAGGUCUUAUGUCACCUGUGACUGAGAGAUGGACCACAGUACAGCCCAGCUGGUCCAGCUACUGCACUGAACUGA